UGGACCGGUGAUGACAGUGCGUGACGUCUGAGUUAUGGGCAAUGAACAGUGUGUGUCUGGAAGUCUGAGGCCCAG
ensembl:snoRNA small nucleolar RNA SNORD113/SNORD114 family